rnacentral:rRNA from 1 species
UACGAAGGGGGCUAGCGUUGUUCGGAAUUACUGGGCGUAAAGCGCGCGUAGGCGGAUCGCUAAGUCAGGGGUGAAAUCCCAGGGCUCAACCCUGGAACUGCCUUUGAUACUGACGAUCUGGAGAUCGGGAGAGGUUGGUGGAAUUCCGAGUGUAGAGGUGAAAUUCGUAGAUAUUGGGAAGAACACCGGUGGCGAAGGCGGCUCACUGGCUCAUUACUGACGCUCAGGCGCGACAGCGUGGGGAUCAAACAGG